CGAAGGGCUUAUAAUCUGCUCAUAAACCCUAAAUUUUCGAUAUUUUAAUAUUCCAUCGUUUUCUCGGAUUCGAUCAGACAGAUCGCUGGAAUCGGUUCAACUCCUGUGGUUCUGUGUUUCUUUUCCGGUUCGGUAAUUGUCAUCCAUCAUGUAUUCUUUGACACUCCAUGGAAGAAGUUUAGUACAGUUGCAGAAAUGGCGUAGCUUUAGUGUUUCAGUCACCCAUUUCCAAAAUACAUCCACCUCCGUUGAUGUGAGCCCUAGAGAUGGUCCAAAAGGUAAGAACUUUACUGUCUCUUACCUCGUUGGUUCACUGGGUUUAGCUACAAAACUCGCUGAGUCGAUCUCGAGAAGAGUCAGCUUCGAGGACAGGGGCAAUCCCGAUUCCGUUCUGAGUCUUUUCAGGAGUCAUGGGUUCACAGAUUCUCAGAUCUCCACCAUCAUUACGGAUCACCCACGAUUGCUUUUACUAGACGCUGAGAAAUCACUUGCUCCCAAGCUCAACUCCCUGCAGUCUAGAGGAGCUGAGCUCACUGAGAUCGUUUCAAAAGUUCCCAAAAUCUUGGAUAAGAGACAAGGCAGAUCUAUCAACCUCUACUAUGAUCUUGUCAAAGACAUUGUAGAAGCUGAUAAGAGUUCCAAGAAGUCAUGGCCAGAUGGUAGGCGGGGGAACAAAAUCAGAAACGUUUUGGUUUUGAGAGAUUUGGGCAUGCCUCAGAAGCUGUUCUUCCCCUUGCUUAUCUCCCUUGCCGAACCCGUCUGUGGAAAACAGAGAUUUGAAGCAUCCCUCAAGAAGGUCGUCGAGAUGGGUUUUGAUCCCACAACCUCAAAGUUUGUCACAGCUCUGCGCAUGCUUUACCAAAUGAGCGACAAGACGAUUCAAGAGAAAGUUGCAGUCUAUAAAUGUGUAGGCUUCACUGUAGAAGCUAUAUGGGAGAUGUUCAGAAAGUAUCCAUUCUCUCUGGCUUACUCUGAGAAGAAGAUAAUAAACGCAUUUGAAACGUUUCUAGGCCUAGGAGUGACUAGAGACGAGUUCGCUACGAUGAUCAUGAGCAGUCCUCAGUGCAUUGGGUUUUCUGCAGAGGCGUUGAAGAGAAAGACUGAGUUUCUAGUGAAGAAGAUGAAUUGGCCACUAAAGGCCCUGGUUUUGCGCCCUCAGGUGUAUAACUACAGCAUGGAGAAAAUGAUUGUGCCAAGGAGUAACGUAAUCGGAGCUCUAAUGUCCAGAAGGUUGCUCAGAGAUGGAGUAAGUGAACAACCCCCUCCGCUGCCGUCGGUUUUUGCAUGUACGGACCAGGCGUUUUUAAACAGGUAUGUGCUCAAGGUAGAGGACGAGGAGCUUGUGGCUGAGCUGAUGGCUAUCUUCAGUGGAGACUGUGCUUCAUAGAUCUUGAUGACAAUGGUACACGCCAAAACUAUUGGUGAUAAUAAACAGGAGAAUGCAGUCAGAAAUAUAUGAAUAAGGCGUGCCUCAGAAGCUGUUAUUCUCGUUGCUCAUCUCUGAUUAACAUGUCUGCUGUCAAAAAGAAAGAUUUAAAGGUUAUCGAGGAUGGUUUUGAUCCGGCAACUUUAAAGUUUGUCCAAGCUCUGCAGGUUGCUUACAGAACCGGCAACAAAACAAUAGAAGAGAAAGACAAUGCCUAUAAAUAGUUACGUUUGGCUUUGGGAGAUGUAUGGGAAAUGUUCAAGAAUUGUCCACACUCUCUGACAUAAUCUGAGAAUAAGAUUACUCAGAGGUUUGAAAUCCUGAAGAACUGUGGCCUACUUCAAGACGGAGUCAGCUCAAUGUUCAAGAAGUUUCUACAGUGUAUAGGGAGUUUCAGAGUAGAAGAUAGAUAAUUCCAUUGAAACAUUUCUAGGCCUAUGAUUCAGCAGAGAUGAGUUUGUGACGUGUGGUCAAGUGCCGCCAUCCUUGGUGUCUUAAUCAUUUUGCAGAGAACUGGCCACUAAAGCCCCUGGUUUCGCACCCUAAGGUAUUUGGAUGCAACCUGGAGAUGAGAAAGCCCUCAUGCCCAAAGUAUUGCUCAGAACUGAAUUACCACCACUAAGGUCUGUUUUGUUGGACACUGAUGAGCUGUUCCUUAAAAAGUAUGUGAAGAAGCAUGAUGACAAGGAGGUUGUGGCUGAGUUAAUGAUGAAUAUCUUCACCGCAGAUAUUUGCUUCAUAUAUCAGAAGGCUUGGUAUAUAGCAAGAGAGGUUGUAUCAAAAGCAUUGAAGAGAUCUCUAUUUGUACAUAGCUACCAUAUGUAUAGGCUCACAUUUCAUUAAGUUAUCUAAAGAAGACUUGAGUGUUUAGCAACG